UGACGCAAAGGGGCGGGACCUGACGUGGUCGCCUCCAGGAGCGUAGGACAGGGGCAGCGUUGGCUCCUCGGCCCUUUCUGACUGCGCUGAGGGGGCUUAUGUCUCCCGAUACAUCGUGCAGAGGAGAGCCGUGGAGGUCAAGCCAGGAUAGAGAAGAAGAAGCUGAGGCCCGGGCUGAUGUUGCCAUAAUGUCGGGAACGAGUGUGUCUCAUGUGUCGUAGCAGAGCGCACCAGUUGCGGAGCGUUAACUUGCUGGGGCUCUCUUGUCCUCCGCGACCUCCUUUCACCUUUACAAGCCCCUGUAAAGUAAGUGUGGCCAUCUGCCUAUGCUCUCUCCAGCGGAAAGUGAGCAGAAGAGAUGUGCAGUUUCCAGUUCUGAACCACAAAAACUUUUAAAAGGUACUUCUCGUUGCUGUUACUUCUUCUGCCAGCUAGAAGCGAAGACAACUAGAUUCUGGAGAAGCAAGGCCUCAAGAUGGAAGAUUCCUGGGUGGAAGAAAACUCUGCCUCGUCCUCCUACAUGUCCACUCAGGCUGUUAUGUAAGGAAAAAUAAAUAAAUAAACUUAUGUUGUGUUUAA